rnacentral:rRNA from 1 species
UACGUAGGGUGCAAGCGUUGUCCGGAAUUAUUGGGCGUAAAGAGCUCGUAGGCGGUCUGUCGCGUCUGCUGUGAAAACUCAGGGCUUAACCCUGAGCUUGCAGUGGGUACGGGCAGACUAGAGUGCGGUAGGGGAGACUGGAAUUCCUGGUGUAGCGGUGAAAUGCGCAGAUAUCAGGAGGAACACCGGUGGCGAAGGCGGUUCUCUGGGCAUUACCUGACGCUGAGGAGCGAAAGCGUGGGGAGCGAACAGG